rnacentral:rRNA from 1 species
GACGAGGGAUCCUAGCGUUGUUCGGAAUCAUUGGGCGUAAGCGGAUGUAGGUGGCUUUGUAAGUCAGGUGUGAAAGCCCAGAGCUCAACUCUGGAAGUGCAUUUGAUACUGCGAAGCUUGAGUUGUGGAAGAGGUAAGUAGAAAUACCUGGUGUAGUGGUGAAAUACGUAGAUAUCAGGUGGAAUACCGGAGGCGAAGGCGGCUUACUGGUC